rnacentral:rRNA from 1 species
UACGAAGGGGGCUAGCGUUGCUCGGAAUCACUGGGCGUAAAGGGUGCGUAGGCGGGUCUUUAAGUCGGGGGUGAAAGCCCAGGGCUCAACCCUGGAAUUGCCUUCGAUACUGGAUAUCUUGAGUUCGGGAGAGGUGAGUGGAAUGCCGAGUGUAGAGGUGAAAUUCGUAGAUAUUCGGCGGAACACCAGUGGCGAAGGCGACUCACUGGCCCGAUACUGACGCUGAGGCGCGAAAGCGUGGGGAGCAAACAGG